CAAAAGUUUGGUCCUGACUUUACUGUCAGCUUUAACUAGAUUUAUACAUGCGAGUAUCCGCGGUCCCGUGAGAAUGCCCUAUAUACUCCUUCUUGGAGCUAAGGAGCCGGUAUCAGGCUCACCCAACAAAUUUACGCCCACGACACCUUGCUUAGCCACACCCCCAAGGGAAUUCAGCAGUAAUAAACAUUAAGCCAUGAGUGAAAACUUGACUUAGUUAAAGUAAAGAGAGUCGGUCAAUCUCGUGCCAGCCACCGCGGUUAUACGAGAGACUCGAGUUGACAGUUACCGGCGUAAAGCGUGGUUAAAUGUACUUUUAAACUAAAGCCGAAAGCAUUCAUAGCAGUUAUACGCCCAUGAAAGUAAGAAGCCCGCACACGAAAGUAGCUUUAUGACACAUUGACCCCACGAAAACUGGGGCACAAACUGGGAUUAGAUACCCCACUAUGCCCAGCCUUAAACAAAGACGGUUCCCUACACUAUUCCGUUCGCCUGGUUACUACGAGCUCUUCAGUAUUUAAGCUUAAAAACCAAAGGACUUGGCGGUGCUUCAUAACCCCCUAGAGGAGCCUGUUCUAUAACCGAUAUUCCCCGUUAAACCUCACCCUUUCUUGCUUAAUCCAGCUUAUAUACCGCCGUCGUCAGCUCACCCCGUGAGGGCCUUACCCUAUAAAGUGAGCACAAUUGGUCUACCCCCAGCAAGUCAGGUCGAGGUGUAGCAGAAGAAAGGGGAAGAAAUGGGCUACAUUCUCUACUACAGAGAAUACGGAGAAUCGUCCUGAAACAAGACAUUCGAAGGUGGAUUUAGCAGUAAGGGAGGAGCAGAGUGCCCCCCUGAAGCUGGCUCUGAAGUGUGUACACACCGCCCGUCACUCUCCCCCAGCACCUUCGCCAUAAAAUUACAUAAAAUGUAAGAGCAGCAUAGGGGAGGCAAGUCGUAACAUGGUAAGCGUACCAGAAGGUGCGCUUGGAAAACAAU
rnacentral:ncRNA from 1 species